rnacentral:rRNA from 1 species
UACGAAGGGGGCGAGCGUUGUUCGGAAUUACUGGGCGUAAAGGGCGCGUAGGCGGGCGACCCAAGUCAGGAUGUGAAAGUCCUGGGCUUAACCUGGGGACUGCAUUUGAUACUGGGUUGGCUUGAAUUCGGGAGGAGGAUAGCGGAAUUCCCAGUGUAGAGGUAGAAAUUCGUAGAUAUUGGGAAGAACACCGGUGGCGAAGGCGGCUAUCUGGACCGACAUUGACGCUGAGGCGCGAAAGCGUGGGAGCAACAGG